rnacentral:miRNA from 1 species
UGGAUUGGCCAAAAAGUUCGUUCGAGUUUUUUGUAAGAAUGGAUAAAGCCAGACGAACUUUUUGGCCAGCCCA